GACCGACUCUCGGCAACGAAUAUCUCGGCUCUCGCAUCGAUGAAGAACGUAGCGAAAUGCAAUACUUGGUGUGAAUUGCAGAAUCCCGUGAACCAUCGAGUCUUUGAACGCAAGUUGCGCCCCAACCCGUUAGGCCAAGGGCACGUCUGCCUGGGUGUCACGC
rnacentral:rRNA from 1 species